rfam:Picea glauca, whole genome shotgun sequence.
CCUUGCAAGAAUUGGCGCCAACACACCAGAUCUCAUCAGAACUCUGCAGUUAAGCGCGCUUAGGCUGAAGUAGUUCUGGGAUGGGUGACCUCCUAGGAAGUCCUAGUUUUGCACCCU